rnacentral:rRNA from 1 species
UACGUAGGGUGCGACGUUGUCCGGAAUUAUUGGGUACGUAAAGAGCUUGUAGGCGGUUUGUUACGCGUCUGUCCGUGAAAUUUCGGGGCUCAACCCCGAACUUGCGGUGGGUUACGGGCAGACUAGAGAUUUGCGGUAGGGGAGACUGGAAUUCCAUGGUGUAGCGGUGAAAUGCGCAGAAUAUCAGGAGGAACACCGAUGGCGGAAGGCAGGUCUCAUGGGG